AGUGAACGCUGGCGGUAGGCCUAACACAUGCAAGUCGAACGGCAGCACAGUAAGAGCUUGCUCUUACGGGUGGCGAGUGGCGGACGGGUGAGGAAUACAUCGGAAUCUACUUUUUCGUAGGGGAUAACGUAGGGAAACUUACGCUAAUACCGCAUACGACCUACGGGUGAAAGCAGGGGAUCUUCGGACCUUGCGCGAUUGAAUGAGCCGAUGUCGGAUUAGCUAGUUGGCGGGGUAAAGGCCCACCAAGGCGACGAUCCGUAGCUGGUCUGAGAGGAUGAUCAGCCACACUGGAACUGAGACGCGGUCCAGACUCCUACGGGAGGCAGCAGUGGGGAAUAUUGGACAAUGGGCGCAAGCCUGAUCCAGCCAUACCGCGUGGGUGAAGAAGGCCUUCGGGUUGAAAAGCCCUUUUGUUGGGAAAGAAAAGCAGCAGGUUAAUACCCCGCUGUUCUGACGGUACCCAAAGAAUAAGCACCGGCUAACUUCGUG
rnacentral:rRNA from 1 species